UAGGGAAUCUUCGGCAAUGGACGAAAGUCUGACCGAGCAACGCCGCGCGAGCGAAGAAGGUUUCCGGAUCGUAAAACUCUGUUGUUAGAGAAGAACAAGGACGUUAGUAACUGAACGUCCCCUGACGGUAUCUAACCAGAAAGCCACGGCUAACUACGUGCCAGCAGCCGCGGUAAUACGUAGGUGGCAAGCGUUGUCCGGAUUUAUUGGGCGUAAAGCGAGCGCAGGCGGUUUCUUAAGUCUGAUGUGAAAGCCCCCGGCGCAACCGGGGAGGGACAUUUGUAGCUGGGAGAGUUGAGUGCAGGAGAGGAGAGUGGAAUUCCAUGUGUAGCGGUGAAGGGCGUAGAUAUAUGGAGGAACACCAGUGGCGGAGGCGGCUCUCUGGUCUGUAACUGACGCUGAGGCUCGAAAGCGUGGGGAGCAGGCAGG
rnacentral:rRNA from 1 species